rnacentral:rRNA from 1 species
GUAGGUGGCAAGCGUUGUCCGGAAUUAUUGGGCGUAAAGCGCGCGCAGGCGGUUCUUUAAGUCUGAUGUGAAAGCCCACGGCUCGACCGUGGAGGGUCAUUGGAAACUGGAGAACUUGAGUACAGAAGAGGAAAGCGGAAUUCCACGUGUAGCGGUGAAAUGCGUAGAGAUGUGGAGGAACACCAGUGGCGAAGGCGGCUUUCUGGUCUGUAACUGACGCUGAGGCGCGAAAGCGUGGGGGAGCAACCAGGAUUAGAUACCCUGGUAGUCCACGCCGUAAACGAUGAGUGCUAAGUGUUAGGGGGUUUCCGCCCCUUAGUGCUGCAGCUAACGCAUUAAGCACUCCGCCUGGGGAGUACGGCCGCAAGGCUGA